CUACGGGAGGCUGCAGUGGGGAAUAUUGCACAAUGGGCGCAAGCCUGAUGCAGCCAUGCCGCGUGUAUGAAGAAGGCCUUCGGGUUGUAAAGUACUUUCAGCGGGGAGGAAGGGAGUAAAGUUAAUACCUUUGCUCACUGACGUUACCCGCAGAAGAAGCACCGGCUAACUCCGUGCCAGCAGCCGCGGGUAAUACGGAGGGUGCAAGCGUUAAUCGGAAUUACUGGGCGUAAAGCGCACGCAGGCGGUUUGUUAAGUCAGAUGUGAAAUCCCCGGGCUCAACCUGGGAACUGCAUCUGAUACUGGCAAGCUUGAGUCUCGUAGAGGGGGGUAGAAUUCCAGGUGUAGCGGUGAAAUGCGUAGAGAUCUGGAGGAAUACCGGUGGCGAAGGCGGCCCCCUGGACGAAGACUGACGCUCAGGUGCGAAAGCGUGGGGAGCAAACAGGAUUAGAUACCCCGGUAGUC
rnacentral:rRNA from 1 species